UUGGUCUUUAUUUACUAAUUUAAUUGUGGACGAUGCGGCUCCUAAGUCCUAACCGCUUGCAGUACUUUCAUAUUGAUACCAGCUUCUGGAAGCCAACUGCACCACGCUUUCUCGCUCGUUUAAACAUCUAACCGCAAUUGUUUUAUAACUAAUAUACUUGUGAUACCCAACUAUUGCCCGGGCCCAAAUCAAAUAAAAAACAAAUAAUGACAAAAAAGUCCAGUCCAUCUACACGGUCCAAAUUACAAAAAAAUUUAAAUUCAAUAUAAAACCCAAAAGGCCCAAUACUAACAGCCUGAAUUAGCCCAAGACGUAGAAACCCUAGCAGCAAACCUAGCGCCACAGCAACCUCGCCCCAAUGUCGCAGCGCUCCGUACGUUUUUCUUCCCUCGGACGCCUCCACAAACGUCGCACAUGCCGCACACGUCUUCUACAUAUCUGCAACAGACCACGAACAGUAGAGAUAGCAGAAAAUAUAGCAACAAUUAAAGAGAUUUUUAUUUUUUAUUCUUCUCUAGGAUUCGGUUAUAAAAACCGAUUGAGGCAUUUGUAAAAGGGGGUUACACAGAUAAAGAGAAAAACAAGAAAUUGAGAGGUGAGAGGUUACGGGAUUUGUAUCAAAUUAUUGAAAUAUAUACAAAAACAGAGAAUCAGAGAGCAAUUCGAAGGUCUUUUUUUCUCUUCUCGAGUUUCCUUCUUCUGACUUUUUUUAAUAGUAUUAAAAAAGGGAAGAACACUUACCUGAAGGCCAAGGCUUAUUCCUCUGUCGCAAUCGGAGGCCAGGCCGAAAUCGGGGUUUGGAGCGGCGGCGACAGUUAAAAUCGAUGUAUAGAGG
rnacentral:lncRNA from 1 species